rnacentral:sRNA from 1 species
CUCAUUUUUAAGUUUUUAUCAGAUUUAGUACAAGGAUUAUGUUAUCUUAUCUCCAUUGUAUCAACAGUUAUAAGGAACUUGAUUUCAUUUCAUGGUCGGACUACAGAUUUCUGUUAUUUGUGUCUUCCUUUGUUAUUUUACAAUAAGCACAACAACGCAAUACACAUUUAUACGACAGAGGUCCCUGUACUGAAUCCUAAGCAUUCACAAAAAAUAACUACUUGAUGUAAAUAUUCAUGACCAAACAAAAAAUAGAAAUGUAUAUGUACUUUCUACACGAGCAGAUUAACAUAUUCAUAUGGUAAAAACAGCUUUGAACUCAAAACGCAAGUUGAUAUACAGUAUUAAAUUGUAUGCAUUUAUCAUAGUGCAAGUUGUAAAAUUUAUGCAUGAAGGGUGUCAUGCAAACGAUUUUGAGCAAUCUACCCUUCUUUUCACUUUGUUUUUGGCAAAUUUUCAAGUGCAAUAUUAGACAAAGAGGUAUUUACUGUAAUCAUUUUUCUGUUGCAAAGUUAUUUUUGGUAGAAUUUUUUGUUUGAAUUAUUUUUUUAUUUCAUAUGACCAAAGGACAAGGCUUUUUGAUGGAAGGGAGUGGUCUCCAUGACUAUGUUCUCUUUCUUUCUUUCUUUUUCUCUCUCUCUCUGUAUCAGGUACAAUCUAUGAGGGACAAUACAGAUCUUGUGACAAUUGUUUUAUUAUUUAAAUUUUGUAUAUUUAUUAUUAUUAUUAUUAUUUAAUUUUCAUGAUAUGAAAAUGAAUCGUGUCCAUGGCAAAUAUUCUUUUGUGUCCAAGUUCCGAAGUAGAUUAGUAAUGUACAUAGAUUAUAUAUAUAUAUCUAUAUAUUAUAAAUACAAAAU